GAUGAACGCUGGCGGCGUGCCUAAUACAUGCGAGUCGAGCGAACAGACGAGGAGCUUGCUCCUCUGACGUUAGCGGCGGACGGGUGAGUAACACGUGGAUAACCUACCUAUAAGACUGGGAUAACUUCGGGAAACCGGAGCUAAUACCGGAUAAUAUAUUGAACCGCAUGGUUCAAUAGUGAAAGACGGUUUUGCUGUCACUUAUAGAUGGAUCCGCGCCGCAUUAGCUAGUUGGUAAGGUAACGGCUUACCAAGGCAACGAUGCGUAGCCGACCUGAGAGGGUGAUCGGCCACACUGGAACUGAGACACGGUCCAGACUCCUACGGGAGGCAGCAGUAGGGAAUCUUCCGCAAUGGGCGAAAGCCUGACGGAGCAACACCGCGUGAGUGAUGAAGGUCUUCGGAUCGUAAAACUCUGUUAUUAGGGAAGAACAAAUGUGUAAGUAACUAUGCACGUCUUGACGGUACCUAAUCAGAAAGCCACGGCUAACUACGUG
rnacentral:rRNA from 1 species